GUUUCCAUAGUGUAGUGGUUAUCACGUUCGCCUCACACGCGAAAGUCCCCAGUUCGAUCCUCAGUGGAAACA